CAUUUUCCCCUUGAGGCCAGGUGUCCCUGAUUUUUAUCUUUUUUUUUUCUUUUCCCCUUCAAGCAAUGUCCCUGACUCAGUUGUCAAAGACCGAGAAGCAAAAGUGCCCACCUAGCUUUGAACUUGAUACCUGCAGUGGAGUUACAAGGUUAAAUAAAUGGGGUGAUUGUGGUGUUGGGCGCUUUUUUUUUUUUUUUAAGCUAAGCGUAACAGUUCAAAAACAUCUUCUCCCCGCCCUUCCCUCCCCUAAUGUAUUUUUAGGCUGUAUGCACUCCUGCCUAUGUCUGUUCCUCAGUCCCAGCUGAAGAUUUCAAGGGAGAUGAGAGCUCUAUUUUGUUUCUCCCUUGUAUUGCAGAUAGGGGGAGGAGGUGGUUAUUAGAGAGAAGCGCUCUCUGUCUCUCGCUCUCUCCGUCUCUCCCUCUCUGGCUGAUAGCACUUAUCUCUCGCGCUCUCUCCUUCUCCUAGGUGAUCCAUUUCUAGGCAACGUGCUGGCUGCUGCCGGAGCUGCCAGCUCUCUCCGCAUCCCACCAGCAAAGCAAGCUCCAAAAGCAACCUGCAGACCAUCAUCUGCUCCUCUCCUCUGCCUCGCUCCGGGCACUCCUCCUCUCGCUCCUGCCCUGUCCAGCCACUACCUCCCGCGGCAGAGACAGCACGCUGGGCUUCCUUUGCAGAUUGCUUUAUUUUUUUUUUUCCCCCUCCAGUUGUGCGAAGCAAUUUUUCUAAGCGAAGGGUGUGUGUGUGGGGGGAAAUCUCUGCAUUACUAUCUGCAUUACCUUGAAGUUCACUUUGUUUUUUGGCCUCCGGGGGGGCUUUUCCUGCAGGAAUCUGGUUGCUGGAAGCGGGAUCGGCUGCUCUCGCGGUUGGCCGCUCCUCCCCCCUCGCUGAGGGCAAGCUCUUUGCUGCGGGCUCCCGGGGCUUCUCCGGGGGUUGUGUGUGUGCUUCUGUGUGCGUGUCUGCGCGCGUGUGUGUGUGUGAGCGUGUGCGUGGCGUAGGUUGGAAGUUCCUGUGCAGCAGCCGGGACCGAGCGGAUCCCUGGACCCGGCGGAAGGAUGGGGAUUGUCUGACCGGCAGCAGCGGUUGCUGCCCGCGGUGGCGCCUGGGCUGGAUGGAUUCGCUGCCGGCGUUCCCAGCGACUCCGGUGCUGCCCAGGAGCCCCUCGAAGUGAAGCGGGGGUUCGCCGAAGAGCGAGGCGCUCCCAGCCCCGGCUCGCUCCCUGCCCAGCCGAGGCUCUGCGCCGACGACCGGGAUUUACACGCUCCUUCGGCGGCACCUCAAACUCUUGGGUUUCCUGCGCCGCGCUGUCUUCCGCUGUUGCACCGCUUGGCGAAGAGAUCUGUUGUUACAAAGCCUGGACCUCCAGAGGAGAUGGAAGUUUUCUCCCUCAUACUGGUCGUGUCCGUCUGUUGGACUCGAACCUGGAAAGCGGCGAUUGCAGAUUCAAUCAUUCAUAUCGGAGCAAUUUUUGAUGAAUCUGCCAAAAAAGAUGAGGAAGUUUUUCGAAUGGCAGUUGCUGAUCUCAACCAAAAUGAUGAAAUCUUACAAACGGAGAAAAUCACAUGUUCAGUGACAUUUGUGGAUGGCAACAAUCCAUUUCAGGCAGUUCAAGAAGCCUGUGACCUGAUGAACCAAGGCAUCCUGGCUCUUGUUAGCUCCAUUGGCUGUACGUCAGCAGGAUCCCUGCAGUCGCUGGCAGAUGCCAUGCACAUCCCUCACCUCUUCAUCCAGCGCUCAACAGCAGGAACGCCAAGAAGUGGUUGCGGACUCACCAGGAGCAACCGCAACGAUGACUACACGCUCUCCGUCCGCCCCCCUGUCUACUUAAAUGAUGUCAUCUUCAGGGUGGUCACAGAAUAUGCCUGGCAGAAAUUCAUUGUUUUUUAUGAUAAUGACUAUGAUAUCCGUGGAAUACAAGAGUUUUUGGACAAAGUAUCUCAACAGGGAAUGGAUGUAGCAUUGCAGAAAGUAGAAAACAACAUCAAUAAAAUGAUCACGGGGCUCUUUGCCACUAUGCGAAUAGAAGAACUGAACCGCUACCGGGAUACUCUGAGACGGGCUAUUCUUAUAAUGAACCCUUCGACAGCCAAAUCAUUCAUAACAGAGGUCGUGGAGACUAAUUUGGUUGCUUUCGACUGUCACUGGAUCAUUAUAAAUGAGGAAAUAAAUGAUGUGGAUGUGCAGGAGCUAGUGAGAAGGUCAAUUGGAAGGUUAACAAUUAUUCGACAAACAUUUCCAGUCCCCCAAAACAUAAGUCAGCGCUGUUUCCGUGGGAACCACAGAAUAUCUUCAUCACUGUGUGAUCCGAAGGACCCCUUCUCCCAAAGCAUGGAGAUUUCAAACCUAUAUAUAUAUGACACCGUCCUCCUGUUGGCAAAUGCUUUUCAUAAGAAGCUGGAGGACAGGAAGUGGCACAGCAUGGCCAGCCUCACCUGCAUCAGGAAGAACUCUAAACCCUGGCAAGGAGGACGAUCAAUGUUGGAAACUAUCAAGAAGGGUGGAGUGAAUGGCUUGACUGGAGAACUGGAAUUUGUAGAAAAUGGGGGGAAUCCCAAUGUGCAUUUUGAAAUUUUGGGGACAAAUUAUGGAGAAGAUCUUGGCAGAGGCAUCCGCAAGCUUGGCUGCUGGAAUCCCAUCACUGGUCUGAAUGGGUCACUAACAGACAGAAAGUUGGAGAAUAACAUGCGAGGAGUGGUUCUGCGUGUGGUGACUGUGCUGGAAGAGCCCUUUGUCAUGGUGUCUGAAAAUGUUCUGGGAAAACCAAAGAAGUAUCAAGGCUUCUCAAUAGAUGUGUUGGAAGCCUUGGCUACUUACCUUGGCUUUAAGUACGAAAUUUACGUUGCACCAGAUCACAAGUAUGGGAGUCCUCAGGAUGAUGGGUCAUGGAACGGACUGAUAGGAGAACUUGUAUUUAAGAGAGCUGACAUAGGGAUCUCUGCCCUAACCAUCACCCCCGACAGGGAAAAUGUGGUGGACUUCACAACACGUUACAUGGACUACUCUGUGGGCGUGCUGCUUCGAAAGGCAGAGAAGACAGUGGACAUGUUUGCCUGCUUGGCACCAUUUGACCUCUCCCUGUGGGCAUGCAUAGCUGGCACUGUGCUGUUAGUAGGGCUACUGGUCUACCUCUUGAACUGGCUCAACCCUCCACGCCUUCAGAUGGGAUCCAUGACCUCCACAACCCUCUACAACUCCAUGUGGUUUGUGUAUGGAUCCUUUGUGCAACAAGGAGGAGAGGUUCCAUACACAACCCUGGCAACCCGGCUGAUGAUGGGAGCUUGGUGGCUUUUUGCUUUGAUUGUCAUCUCCUCUUACACAGCAAACCUAGCAGCCUUCCUCACCAUCACACGCAUUGAGAACUCCAUCCAGUCUCUCCAGGAUCUCUCAAGGCAGACGGAUAUUCCUUAUGGCACUGUGUUGGACUCUGCAGUCUAUGAGCACGUCCGAGUGAAAGGGAUGAAUCCUUUUGAGAGGGACAGCAUGUAUUCCCAAAUGUGGAGGAUGAUUAACAGAAGUAAUGGUUCAGAGAACAAUGUCUUGGAGUCGACUGCAGGCAUCCAAAAGGUGAAACACGGGAACUAUGCCUUUGUGUGGGAUGCAGCAGUACUGGAGUAUGUGGCCAUCAAUGACGCAGACUGCUCUUUUUAUACGGUUGGAAACGCUGUGGCAGACAGAGGAUAUGGGAUCGCACUGCAGCACGGCAGCCCCUACCGAGAUGUCUUCUCACAAAGGAUUUUGGAGCUACAGCAGAAUGGCGACAUGGACAUACUGAAGCAUAAGUGGUGGCCAAAGAACAGUCAAUGUGAUCUUUACUCAUCUGUGGAUACAAAACAGAAAGGAGGUGCCCUGGACAUAAAAAGUUUUGCAGGUGUUUUCUGCAUCCUCGCUGCUGGGAUUGUCCUAUCCUGUUUCAUUGCAAUGCUGGAAACGUGGUGGAAUAAAAGGAAAGGCUCCCGGGUUCCGUCAAAAGAGCUUCCAUGAAAUCCAUUGGCUCUUCCAGGCCACUAGUCCAGAAUCGGGGGUCAGAUUGGGCCAGUUUGUGGUCAGCAAGCCAACCCUUUUUCCUGGUGGCUGCCAUCUUGUGCUCCAGAAUGCAAGCAUUUAUACUGAAAAAAAUUGUCUUAUGGUUGCGAAGAUAACAUUUUGGUCGCGUACCAGAAGUAACCCAUUCAGUGAUGUCUGCCUGAGUCUGCAGACAGCCUUAAACGGUAGCUCUGAGAGAAGUAUCAACCGCCCCAGUAAUCUCAAUGGGAUGUUGACUCUGAAGCCUGAUGAUAAUUUAAAUGUGAAAACUGCUGAAUAUUUCACUACUGAUCACACAAGAGAGAAGAGGAAAGAUCAUAUUAUGGAGAUAUGCACAAUCUUACUGACGACAAGGAGAUCGACCUGGAGCACCUCCAUAGGCGCGUGAACAGCCUCUGCACGGACGACGACAGUCCCCAUAAACAGUUCUCCACCUCGUCGAUUGACUUGACCCCGCUGGACAUUGACACUUUACCCACACGUCAGGCACUGGAGCAAAUCAGUGACUUCAGAAACACUCACAUCACCACAACCACCUUCAUACCAGAACAAAUCCAGACUCUGAGCCGCACGCUGUCUGCUAAAGCUGCUUCGGGUUUCUCCUUCGGCAGUGUGCCUGAGCACCGAACUGGCCCUUUCAGGCACAGGGCACCCAACGGUGGCUUUUUCAGAAGCCCCAUCAAAACAAUGUCAUCUAUCCCUUACCAACCAACUCCCACUCUGGGGCUGAAUAUCGGUAGUGACCCAGACCGAGGCACCUCCAUCUGAGCAUCACACCAAGUUUCUUCACUGUUUGUUUUUUAGGACUCCCUUUGCAAGGAGCAGCUGUAAUAUCAUGGGACUAACAUGGAUGUAACCUUUUUUUUUUUGGGGGGGGGGGGGGGAGUGGUUUUUUUGGUGGGUUUUUUUUUUUUUGUUUUUUUUUUUGGGGGUUUUCUUUAAAUUUUUUGGGAGUUGUUUUUGUUUGGGUUUUGGGGUUUUGUUUUUGGUUGUUUUAUUUUAUUUAAGAAUGAGGAUUAUUAGCAACAACUCUUCCUCCUCCUCUUCUCUGCUUUCUCAGUCUGGUCUCCUCUGUCUCCCCUUAUUCUCUUUACUACUUGAAUCACUUAUUCUUUGGUUUAUCGCCGCGUUAGGUUUUGGUUACUUCAGGCUUUUCAUAUACUUUAAAUAUAGGAAACGUGCAGCAAUUCAUGCAUAGAAAAACCCUGAGGAUUACUUUAUAGAAGGGCAUUUGCUCCUCCUCCCCCUCUGCCUUUUUUUACUAUAAUUGCAAUAACUUAAGUCCUUUCCAUGUAUUCUGCUGCAUCCAGUCAGAGCUCCACUGCUGUGUGUCCUUUUAACUGUGGACCAAAGGCAAACCCUGCAGUUUAAAAAAAUGGAAAAAUUUAAAAAAAAAAAAAAAAGGGGAAAAAGAAAAAAGAAAAAAAAAAGGAAAACAAAACAAAUGAAGUUAAAAGACCAUUCAGGCCCCGUAAUACCAGAAUGCAAUUUUGUAGGAUUACAAAAAGCCAUUACUAUGCCAGUAAAGACUACAGUUAAAUCUACUUUUGCACUGCAACAGUGCAUAUGACCUUUAUGUGAUUGUACAGUGAUAAAAGUUUUUCUUAUGUACAGUAAACUGUAUCAUAUGGCAGAAGCCUCUCUUGUGUUAAAUAAAUUAGUAUCUCAUACAUAUAUAUAUACAUAUAUACACACAGGUAUGUAUAUAUAUAUACAUGUAUAUAUAGCUAAAAGAUGGCAGCCAUUGCUAUUGCAAUUCAUUUAAUAAAGCUUUAGUAAAAAUGUGUUGUAUACAGGAAAGAUGUACAGUGCAGGGGGUCUUUUCAUUUAGAAAAGACAGGUUGCUUUAACGUGAUUCUGACUUGCAUCGUUUGCCAACAGAGCAUAUUUUAUACUUUUUUAUUAGGACAUCUGGGGCAAUUUAACGUUUGUACCUAGAUGUAACUCCUUUGGUUAGGUUUUGCAUUGGCUAUUGAGCAUUCUAUAAGGCUAACCUUGAUAAUUUUACUUUUAAUUAAUUAGACAAAUGGAACUCUCUCUUAGGUAUACCAUGUUCAUGAACAACUAAUAUAGCUGUAGAGAAGUUUAAACAUAGGUCAAAGGUUAAUAAAUUAUUUUCCAGAUCAGUACAGUUGAUCAAUACAAUAAUGAUGUUAGUGGAGAAAAAAAAAAGCCCU